ensembl:miRNA
CAAUAUUCUCCAUUGUGUCCUGAUUUGGUCUUCAUGGUUACCCUUACAAAAACACUGACUUUGGUUCUCAAUACAGUAAGUGCUUUUUGUUGGGGUAGUUUUGCUGAUCUCUGCAACA